rnacentral:rRNA from 1 species
UGGGGAAUAUUGGACAAUGGGCGCAAGCCUGAUCCAGCCAUGCCGCGUGAGUGAUGAAGGCCCUAGGGUUGUAAAGCUCUUUCACCGGUGAAGAUAAUGACGGUAACCGGAGAAGAAGCCCCGGCUAACUUCGUGCCAGCAGCCGCGGUAAUACGAAGGGGGCUAGCGUUGUUCGGAUUUACUGGGCGUAAAGCGCACGUAGGCGGACUUUUAAAUCAGGGGUGAAAUCCCGGGGCUCAACCCCGGAACUGCCUUUGAUACUGGAAGUCUUGAGUAUUGUAGAGGUGAGUGGAAAUCCGAGUGUAGAGGUGAAAAUCGUAGAUAUUCGGAGGAACACCAGUGGCGAAGGCGGCUCACUGGACCAUUACUGACGCUGAGGUGCGGAAGCGUGGGGAGCAAACAGG